UCCCUGUAGCUCAGAUGGUAGAGAGUCUGUCUGCAAGGCAGGAGACCCAGGUUCAAUCCCUGGAUUGGGAA
rnacentral:tRNA from 1 species